AUUGAACGCUGGCGGCAUGCCUUACACAUGCAAGUCGAACGGCAGCACGGGCGCUUGCACCUGGUGGCGAGUGGCGAACGGGUGAGUAAUAUAUCGGAACGUACCUUAUUGUGGGGGAUAACGCAGCGAAAGCUGUGCUAAUACCGCAUAAUCCCUUAGGGGGAAAGCGGGGGACCGUAAGACCUCGCGCAAUUAGAGCGGCCGAUACCUGAUUAGCUAGUUGGUGAGGUAAAGGCUCACCAAGGCGACGAUCAGUAGCUGGUCUGAGAGGACGAUCAGCCACACUGGGACUGAGACACGGCCCAGACUCCUACGGGAGGCAGCAGUGGGGAAUUUUGGACAAUGGGGGCAACCCUGAUCCAGCAAUGCCGCGUGAGUGAAGAAGGCCUUCGGGUUGUAAAGCUCUUUUGUCAGGGAAGAAACAGCAGCUCUAACACAGUAUGCGAAUGACGGUACCUGAAGAAUAAGCACCGGCUAACUACGUGCCAGCAGCCGCAGUAA
rnacentral:rRNA from 1 species